rnacentral:rRNA from 1 species
AGCAGCCGCGGUAAUUCCAGCUCCAAUAGCGUAUAUUAAAGUUGUUGCAGUUAAAAAGCUCGUAGUUGAAUUUCGGGGUCAGCAGGUUGGUCGUGCCACUGGUAUGCACUGGCUUCGCUGAUUCCUCCUUUCUGAAGAACUGUAAUGCCAUUAAUUUGGUGUUGCAGGGAAACAGGACUGUUACUUUGAAAAAAUUAGAGUGUUUAAAGCAGGCUAACGCUUGAAUACAUUAGCAUGGAAUAAUGAAAUAGGACGUUUGAUCCUAUUUUGUUGGUUUCUAGGAUUGACGUAAUGAUUAAUAGGGAUAGUUGGGGGCAUUAGUAUUCAAUUGUCAGAGGUGAAAUUCUUGGAUUUAUUGAAGACUAACUACUGCGAAAGCAUUUGCCAAGGAUGUUUUCAUUAAUCAAGAACGAAAGUUAGGGGAUCGAAGACGAUCAGAUACCGUCGUAGUCUUAACCAUAAACUAUGCCGACUAGGGAUCGGAUGAUGUUAAUUUUUUAAUGACUCA